rnacentral:rRNA from 1 species
GAUGAACGCUGGCGGCGUGCCUAAUACAUGCAAGUCGAGCGAACGGACGAGAAGCUUGCUUCUCUGAUGUUAGCGGCGGACGGGUGAGUAACACGUGGAUAACCUACCUAUAAGACUGGGAUAACUUCGGGAAACCGGAGCUAAUACCGGAUGAUAUUUUUAACCGCAUGGUUCAAAAGUGAAAGACGGUCUUGCUGUCACUUAUAGAUGGAUCCGCGCUGCAUUAGCUAGUUGGUAGGGUAACGGCUUACCAAGGCAACGAUGCAUAGCCGACCUGAGAGGGGAGACGGCAACAUGGGGACGGAGAGAGGGCGCAGACUGCGACGGGAGGGAGCAGUGGGGAAUAGUGCACAAGGGGCGGAAGCGAGAUGAAGCAACGCCGAGUGCGGGAUGAAGGCCUACGGGGUGUAAACCGCUGUCGCCGGUGACGAAGCGUGAGGGACGGUAAUGGGUAAAGAAGCACCGGCUAACUACGUG